rnacentral:rRNA from 1 species
CCUACGGGAGGCAGCAGUAGGGAAUAUUGCACAAUGGGCGAAAGCCUGAUGCAGCAACGCCGCGUGCGGGAAGAAGGCCCUAGGGUUGUAAACCGCUUUCAGCAGGGAAGAAAAUGACGGUACCUGCAGAAGAAGGUGCGGCCAACUACGUGCCAGCAGCCGCGGUGACACGUAGGCACCAAGCGUUGUCCGGAUUUAUUGGGCGUAAAGAGCUCGUAGGCGGUUCAGUAAGUCGGGUGUGAAAACUCUGGGCUCAACCCAGAGACGCCACUCGAUACUGCUGUGACUCGAGUGCGGUAGGGGAGCGGGGAAUUCCUAGUGUAGCGGUGAAAUGCGCAGAUAUUAGGAGGAACACCAGUGGCGAAGGCGCCGCUCUGGGCCGUAACUGACGCUGAGGAGCGAAAGCGUGGGUAGCAAACAGGAUUAGAUACCCUGGUAGUCCACGCCGUAAACGUUGGGCACUAGGUGUGGGUCUCAACCAACGAGAUCCGCGCCGUCGCUAACGCAUUAAGUGCCCCGCCUGGGGAGUACGGCCGCAAGGCUAAACUCAAAUGAAUUGACGG